rnacentral:rRNA from 1 species
AUUGAACGCUGGCGGCAGGCCUAACACAUGCAAGUCGAGCGGAUGAAGGGAGCUUGCUCCUGGAUUCAGUGGCGGACGGGUGAGUAAUGCCUAGGAAUCUGCCUGGUAGUGGGGGGUAACGUCCGGAAACGGGCGCUAAUACCGCAUACGUCCUGAGGGAGAAAGUGGGGGAUCUUCGGACCUCACGCUAUCAGAUGAGCCUAGGUCGGAUUAGCUAGUUGGUGGGGUAAAGGCCUACCAAGGCGACGAUCCGUAACUGGUCUGAGAGGAUGAUCAGUCACACUGGAACUGAGACACGGUCCAGACUCCUACGGGAGGCAGCAGUGGGGAAUAUUGGACAAUGGGCGAAAGCCUGAUCCAGCCAUGCCGCGUGUGUGAAGAAGGUCUUCGGAUUGUAAAGCACUUUAAGUUGGGAGGAAGGGCAGUAAGUUAAUACCUUGCUGUUUUGACGUUACCAACAGAAUAAGCACCGGCUAACUUCGUG